rnacentral:lncRNA from 1 species
CGAAGGCUCUACUUUAUAGAAACAAUAUUAGCUCCGAUUCAAUUAUUCCUACUUCUGUCCAAUAGGUUUGCACUUUUACCCAAGCAACAUCUGAUGAUAAAUGGUUAUACAAUAAGUUAGAUUGAUAAGUUUAAUGAAUUUAUAUAUAUAUAUUGUAUAGGGUUAUUUAUAUUUUAUAUAGAAACAGCCAACGAUUUAAAUUUGAUCAAAACCAAUUUUUAGAAAACUGGACCAAAUCAGUUGGUUUGACCAAAUCAGCUGAUUGAGGCUUGGAUCCCUUUCUUUGAUGGAUUUUUUUAUCAGGCAAAAUGGGCCAUCAAAACUUGAGUGAACAUGGGCUAGGGCUUGGGCCGCUUCAUCACGCAUGUUUGAUUAUGUUACGUGCGAAUGGGCAACAUAAAGCUAUGGCUUGGUCUGCCACAUGAUGGCAGGGAAGACUGAAAAAAAUUCAUACUACAUGAGGGUUUGGAAUAUUGACCUUAAAUUCAACAUGUAAGGACGACACCACAAUGUUGACACUUUAUGCACAUAUAUAAACAAUAAUAAAUUUAACAAGCUUUGUUUCAAAAAUUUUAUAAUAAUAAAAAUAUAAAUAGUAUAAAUAAAUAAUAGAAUAUAUAAAUUUUAAGAUAUAUAUAUAUAUAUAUAUAUAUUAU